rnacentral:rRNA from 1 species
UACGGGGGGAGCAAGCGUUGUUCGGAUUUACUGGGCGUAAAGGGCGCGUAGGCGGCCACCGCAAGUCAAUUGUGAAAUCUCCGGGCUUAACCCGGAAAGGUCAACUGAUACUGCGGGGCUAGAGUGCGGAAGGGGCAACUGGAAUUCUCGGUGUAGCGGUGAAAUGCGUAGAUAUCGAGAGGAACACCUGCGGCGAAGGCGGGUUGCUGGGCCGACACUGACGCUGAUGCGCGAAAGCGUGGGGAGCGAUCCGG